GAUGAAGAACGCAGCGAAAUGCGAUAAGUAAUGUGAAUUGCAGAAUUCAGUGAAUCAUCGAAUCUUUGAACGCACAUUGCGCCCUCUGGUAUUCCGGGGGGCAUGCCUGUUCGAGCGUCAUUACAACCCUCAAGCUUUGCUUGGUAUUGGACAUUGCCAGCUUCUGGCAGGUCUUAAAAUCAGUGGCGGUGCCAUUUGGCUUCAAGCGUAGUAAUUCUUCUCGCUUUGGAGAUCCAGGUGGUUACUUGCCAAUAACCCCCAAUUUUUUCAGGUUGACCUCGGAUCAGGUAGGGAUACCCGCUGAACUUAAGCAUAUCAAUAAGCGGAGGA
rnacentral:misc_RNA from 1 species